rnacentral:rRNA from 1 species
UACGUAGGGUGCGAGCGUUGUCCGGAAUUAUUGGGCGUAAAGAGCUUGUAGGCGGUUUGUCGCGUCUGCCGUGAAAAUCCGAGGCUCAACCUCGGACUUGCGGUGGGUACGGGGCAGACUAGAGUGUGGUAGGGGGAGACUGGAAUUCCCGUGGUGAGCGGUGAAAUGUGUAGAGAUCGGGAAGAACACCGGUGGCGAAGGCGGCUCUGGGCAUU